rnacentral:rRNA from 1 species
UACGAGGGGUCCAAGCGUUGUUCGGAAUCACUGGGCGUAAAGCGGGUGUAGGCGGCUAAGCAAGUUGGAUGUGAAAGCCCCGGGCUCAACCCGGGAAGUGCAUCCAAAACUACUUAGCUUGAGUACGGUAGAGGAAGGUAGAAUUCCAGGUGUAGUGGUGAAAUACGUAGAUAUCUGGAGGAACACCGGUGGCGAAGGCGGCCUUCUGGACCAGUACUGACGCUCAGACCCGAAAGCAUGGGGAGCGAACAGG